AGAGUUUGAUCAUGGCUCAGAACGAACGCUGGCGGCAGGCUUAACACAUGCAAGUCGAACGCCCUCUUUUAGAGGGAGUGGCAGACGGGUGAGUAACGCGUGGGAACCUACCUAUUGGUAAGGAACAACACAGAGAAAUUUGUGCUAAUACCUUAUAAGCCCCGAGGGGGAAAGAUUUAUCGCCAAUAGAUGGGCCCGCGUUUGAUUAGCUAGUUGGUGAGGUAAUGGCUCACCAAGGCGACGAUCAAUAGCUGGUCUGAGAGGAUGAUCAGCCACACUGGGACUGAGACACGGCCCAGACUCCUACGGGAGGCAGCAGUGGGGAAUAUUGGACAAUGGGCGAAAGCCUGAUCCAGCCAUGCCGCGUGUGUGAUGAAGGCCUUAGGGUUGUAAAGCACUUUCAACGGUGAAGAUAAUGACGGUAACCGUAGAAGAAGCUCCGGCUAACUUCGUGCCAGCAGCCGCGGUAAUACGAAGGGAGCUAGCGUUGUUCGGAAUUACUGGGCGUAAAGCGCACGUAGGCGGAUUGAUCAGUUAGGGGUGAAAUCCCAGGGCUUAACCCUGGAACUGCCUCUAAUACUGUCAGUCUAGAGAUCGAGAGAGGUGAGUGGAAUUCCGAGUGUAGAGGUGAAAUUCGUAGAUAUUCGGAGGAACACCAGUGGCGAAGGCGGCUCACUGGCUCGAUACUGACGCUGANGUGCGAAAGCGUGGGGAGCAAACAGGAUUANAUACCCUGGUAGUCCACGCCGUAAACGAUGGAAGCUAGCCGUCGGGUUGUUUACAAUUCGGUGGCGCAGCUAACGCAUUAAGCUUCCCGCCUGGGGAGUACGGUCGCAAGA
rnacentral:rRNA from 1 species